rnacentral:rRNA from 1 species
AAAUUGAAGAGUUUGAUCAUGGCUCAGAUUGAACGCUGGCGGCAGGCCUAACACAUGCAAGUCGAACGGUAACAGGAAGCAGCUUGCUGCUUCGCUGACGAGUGGCGGACGGGUGAGUAAUGUCUGGGAAGCUGCCUGAUGGAGGGGGAUAACUACUGGAAACGGUGGCUAAUACCGCAUAACGUCGCAAGACCAAAGAGGGGGACCUUCGGGCCUCUUGCCAUCAGAUGUGCCCAGAUGGGAUUAGCUAGUUGGUGAGGUAACGGCUCACCAAGGCGACGAUCCCUAGCUGGUCUGAGAGGAUGACCAGCCACACUGGAACUGAGACACGGUCCAGACUCCUACGGGAGGCAGCAGUGGGGAAUAUUGCACAAUGGGCGCAAGCCUGAUGCAGCCAUGCCGCGUGUAUGAAGAA